rnacentral:rRNA from 1 species
UACGAAGGGGGCAAGCGUUGUCCGGAAUUACUGGGCGUAAAGGGCUCGUAGGCGGCCAACUAAGUCAGACGUGAAAUCCCUCGGCUUAACUGGGGGAACUGCGUCUGAUACUGGAUGGCUUGAGAUUGGGAGAGGGAUGCGGAAUUCCAGGUGUAGCGGUGAAAUGCGUAGAUAUCUGGAGGAACACCGGUGGCGAAGGCGGCGUUCUGGACUGCAACUGACACUGAGGAACGAAAGCCAGGGGAGCAAACGGG